UACCUUAGUUGCCAUCAGGUUAAGGCUGGGGACGUCUAAAGGAACUGCCUACGCAAGUAGUGAGGAAGGCGGGGAGUGACGUCAAAUCAGCACGGCCCUUACGUCCAGGGCUACACACGUGCUACAAUGGCCGAUACAGAGGGCAGCUACCUGGUGACAGGAUGCAAAUCUCCAAAGUCGGUCUCAGUUCGGAUCGGAGUCUGCAACCCGACUCCGUGAAGUUGGAUUCGCUAGUAAUCGCGCAUCAGCCAUGGCGCGGUGAAUACGUUCCCGGGCCUU
rnacentral:rRNA from 1 species